CUCUGUUCAUAUUCAAAGUGUUCAGGGCAGAAGGAG
rnacentral:ncRNA from 1 species